ACACAUUUGUUUGGGAAGUUUGC
rnacentral:siRNA from 1 species